GCAGAGUCUCAGACAGGGAUGAAAUAGAAAACGGGGACCCAAACAAACCAAGGCAAAGAAACCUCGCUGGAUUUCUCGUCAAGUAGAUCUCUACGUCCAAACAAUUCCAGGAGUACAUCAUGACCUCCAGCCCCUCUCGUCAGCAAGUUCUCCAGCUGUACAGGGCUUUGCUACAGUAUGGAAAGACACUGGAAUUUACCGACCAAGAUUACUUUAUGCGGAGAAUAAGAAAAGAGUUCCAAAAAAACAAGACAUUAGUGUCUUCAGAAGAGAAACAAUUUUAUUUUGGAAAGGGAUUGAGCUUUUUAUCCAAGCAACGACUUAUAUGAGGUGUUGUCUGAGUUUGUAUAUAUAUGUGUAUAAUGUGUGGUUGUGUUUGAGGACCUGUGUGUUGUAUGUUAUUUUAGAAGUUACUGAAUAGUAGAAUUUGUAACACAUAUGAAUUAAGUUGUAAAGUUAAAUACUUUGUAUAAUUGAUUUAACAGAAAUUUUGUUAUAUGUAUCAUAAAAUAAAAAGGUUGACAUAUUGUC